AUAUGAUCUAUCAGUGAAGUAUACAAGUGUUAGUCGAGCUCCCGAGGGGAGAGAAAUCAUCUUUCUGCAGAUAUUUUUUUCUCCUCCGUUUGUAGCUGUCUUCUCCUCGGUAUGGCGAAUAAGGGAACCUGGAAUUUUCGUGCUGGUUUUGUUGGACAGGUGACUUGGAAUUUUCAUGCUGGUGUCGUUGGACAAGAGGCUUUAUUCCCUGAAGCUCUGGCUCAGAUCUAAUCAAUCCACAACCAGAUUGAUAUCCGGACAACUAAUGGCAGAGACCUAUCUACUAUAGAAGCAAGUCCGCGAGGAGCAAAUGCUGUAGACGAGCAGAAGAACACCCUGGAGACUUUCAAGGGUGACUGGAAGUUUAGUAUUCAUGUGUGUUUGGAGGUAACUAGGGGUUCGAGGGUACUGAAUUAUUAACCUAGGUUGUAAAUCUCUUUCUUGAUCUGGUUUCAUAACUGUGAAUCACUAGUUGGUUCUGUUAGUGCCACUCUCACAUUGAACCUAGAGCAACAAUGAACUAAUUUAUGCCAGAGAGGACAUCAAUAGUCAGUUAGUGGAUAGGAAGGAAGUAAUUAUCUGGAUGAGCAACAACAGAGUAAUUUCAAAUGAAUGUGUAUAGACAACCUAGUUUCAGUGUUAUCUGGAUGAGCACCAUCCUUACUCAUCACAUUAAUUAGAAAAAAAAGGAAAGGGAAGUCAAAGGAACAAAACACUAAAUGUGUAUCCUAGUCACAGCACUAUAUCAUCAUAGUAUACUUAUUUACGACUUUUUAUACCUAAUUCUAGACGGAUGCAACACAUUGGGGCUUUCAACAGUCCAUACAUAAAAUGAAUGCAUGCAUAUAAUUUCUUUAUGAGAUGAAUAUGGACAGUGCUUUAAAAACAUAAGCUUGCUGAAAAUAAAAGCCACAGAUGUAAUACAGAGUACUAAGAUUUUAUUAGUCAAUGUUAGAAAAUCAAGCAAUAUGAAAAGUCUGAAUUUGCUGAAAAUACAAGCCACGGAUGUAAUACAAAGUACUCAGAUUUUAUUAGUCAAUGUUAGAAAAUCAAGCAAAAUGAAAUGUCAGCAUAUAUGUAUUUCUGUAUUAGAAAUUUGGUCAACUCAAUUCAAUUCACAAAGCCUUUUCCAAGUAUGUGGAGACAAAAUAAAUAUGAUGCAGCCAAUAAAAUGCAGGAAUUAUUGACAAAAUAAUGAAUUCCUCCCAAGUGCUGCACAACGAGACGAAUUAAUUAUUAUCUCCAGAGAAGAUUUUUCAACACAGCCCCACAACGAGCUGACUAACCAAAAUAAUUCAAUUCACCAAAUCAAGUAAAAUACAUAUUCAACAGAAAAUCAGCUUAUACAAAAAUAAAAUGACACAAUAUCAUUUGGCAAUAGGAUUAAGCGUCUUCAAAUUAGCAGGGCCAAUUAUAUAAAGUAUAAAAGGUAAUGGAAGUACUUGAAUGUUUUUCCAGCACUUCUCUUCGAUUGUCGAGUUGGUGUCACUUCAAUGGAAUCCUUCACAUUAUUUUGUCCA